rnacentral:rRNA from 1 species
GACGAACGCUGGCGGCGUGCCUAAUACAUGCAAGUCGAGCGAAGUUUUUCUGGUGCUUGCACCGGAAAAACUUAGCGGCGAACGGGUGAGUAACACGUAAAGAACCUGCCUCAUAGACUGGGACAACUUUUGGAAACGAUAGCUAAUACCGGAUAACAGCAUUAACUGCAUGGUUGAUGUUUAAAAGUUGGUUUUGCUAACACUAUGAGAUGGCUUUGCGGUGCAUUAGCUAGUUGGUGGGGUAAAGGCCUACCAAGGCGACGAUGCAUAGCCGACCUGAGAGGGUGAUCGGCCACACUGGGACUGAGACACGGCCCAGACUCCUACGGGAGGCAGCAGUAGGGAAUCUUCCGCAAUGGGCGAAAGCCUGACGGAGCAACGCCGCGUGAGUGAAGAAGGAUUUCGGUUCGUAAAGCUCUGUUGUUAGGGAAGAAUGAUUGUGUAGUAACUAUACACAGUAGAGACGGUACCUAACCAGAAAGCCACGGCUAACUACGUG